AGAUAUAACCCUCAGUUAAGAACCAUGGAGAAGAGGCAUUUUCUACAGAAGACUUGAUUUGCAAUGCAUAUGCUACUCUAAGAGAGGGAAAAUUCAUCCCCCACCCUGCAGAGUUUGUGUAGUUUAACUUCUGCUCCACUACUCUGGCUUGGAAAUGUAUUCUCCUCUUAAUUUGUGAAUGAAAUGAAAGGACACAUUAUAUCUCAGUAAUGCCAUGAAUCAAUGUCUGGCAAAGCACUGGAAGUGAUCUCUGGUGAAUAUCACAGUGGUGGAAAGCAUGCAGUCUAGGCUGCCUGGAUUGAAUGUCAGCUUCAUCACCCACUCUUCAAUGACCUUGGGCAAGUUACCAACUCUCUCUGUGCCUCAGUUUCUUCCUCUCACGUGGGGAAGGACUUAUUUCGUUAGGUUGCUAUGGGGAUUAAAUUACUUAUAUAUUUGAAAUGCUCACAAGAGUACCUAGUAUUUUAAAAUGUGUUUUGUCAAAUUUAAAAAUACAGUAACUAGAAUAUCAAUACGCUCCUCAUAGGGGUAUCCAGUCUGUGGUCUGUGGGCAACAUGCAUCUUAUUUGAGGACUGUUUUGCUUAUCUGUAUUGCCAGAUAUCACAAAAUUUAAGUGUGGAUUUUUUUUUUUUUUUGGCUCAUCAGCUUGUUAGUAUUUGCAUAUUUAAUGUGCC